rnacentral:snRNA from 1 species
UCCCGCAGAGUUGAUUUCAUCACGUACUAAUCUUUCGCCUUUUACUAAAGAUUACCGUGGGAUUGACUCAAACGAAUGCGGCUUCACUAAAUUUCUUGAUUCCCCCCUUGCGGGGGAAA